GCGCCGGUGGUGUAAGGCGAACAUCGCUGCCCGGAAAGCAGAAGAUGCGGGUUCGAGUCCCGCCGGGCGCA
rnacentral:tRNA from 1 species